UACAUAGGUUAACGAGGCGAACCGGGGGAACUGAAACAUCUAAGUACCCCGAGGAAAAGAAAUCAACCGAGAUUCCCCCAGUAGCGGCGAGCGAACGGGGAGCAGCCCAGAGUCUGAAUCAGCUUGUGUGUUAGUGGAACGGUCUGGAAAGUCCGACGGUACAGGGUGAUAGUCCCGUACACCAAAAUGCACAGGCUGUGAACUCGAAGAGUAGGGCGGGACACGUGGUAUCCUGUCUGAAUAUGGGGGGACCAUCCUCCAAGGCUAAAUACUCCUGACUGACCGAUAGUGAACCAGUACCGUGAGGGAAAGGCGAAAAGAACCCCGGCGAGGGGAGUGAAAAAGAACCUGAAACCGUGUACGUACAAGCAGUGGGAGCACCUUCGGGUGUGACUGCGUACCUUUUGUAUAAUGGGUCAGCGACUUAUAUUCUGUAGCAAGGUUAACCGUAUAGGGGAGCCGCAGGGAAACCGAGUCUUAACUGGGCGUUAAGUUGCAGGGUAUAGACCCGAAACCCGGUGAUCUAGCCAUGGGCAGGUUGAAGGUUGGGUAACACUAACUGGAGGACCGAACCGACUAAUGUUGAAAAAUUAGCGGAUGACUUGUGGCUGGGGGUGAAAGGCCAAUCAAACCGGGAGAUAGCUGGUUCUCCCCGAAAGCU
rnacentral:rRNA from 1 species